UUUGUCUUUUAAAUGAAAGAUAUGAAUAAUAUAAUUAAUAUAAUAUAAAUAAGGCUUUGUGCUACAAUUUUCUUUUAAAAACCUUACAAGGAGAUAGCAAUGCCGUGAUGUACCCCUCCAACCAUAAAACCAUAUUCGUCCUCGAUCACACACCGUACUUCGGCAUCUCUUGCGAGGAGUUGCUGGAGUUCGACCUGACCAAAACCAGAGGUCCCGGGUUCAUACCCUUGGCUCCCAUCACCAAGUCCCUGUGGACGUGCAGCGUGGAGGCUGCCAUCGAGUACUGCCGCAUCGUCUGGGACAUAUUCCCCCAAGGGAAGCUGAUUCGCUUUGUGGUUAGUGAUUCUACAGCACAUGUUCUAAAUACAUGGAGCCCACAGCAACAAAAUUUACAACAUAUCCUAGGAGGUUUAGCGACAGUUGGCAUACCCCCUAGAGCACACCAGCAAGGGGAGUUCUCCGUGAUUCACGGCUUGAACGCCGCUGUCGAAGCGUUGUCCGAGUGUUCGGACAUACAGACUGAAAAGAGAACAUCCCUCACUGAGAAUGCCACCAAGUUGCUAAACAGGUGUCGCGUCAUCUGUAUUAUGUCUGCCCGAGAUGACGGCAGCAUGAAGUCCCUCCAAGAUAUUUUCCAGAAUGUUCUUGUGCAACAGAACAAAGUAGCCACUGCAUCAGAUCACUUGAUCAAUAUCCAUCACUGUCAUCUUGUGGUUAUAAACGUCCACCCGAACAACGUUGAAUCACAGGUCACCAGCCAUCCCCCAAAAGAAGUGUCCAGUCUGUUGACGACGGAGGUCCACUCCGUGAAAGCUGGCGGCGGGAUCGCCGCGAAGUUGUCCAACCUCAUCCUCAAUCACUACGAACUCGGGUCCACGACGGUGACUGGGAUCCCCAUGAAGGAAGAGCAGAACGCCAGCUCGUCAGCGAACUACGAUGUUGAAAUAUACCAUUCAGCGGCAGCACAUACUUCCAUACUGAAAGGUAAUGCAGCGGACUCUGCUCUCAUUCGGACGAAGCGAGAAGGUGCUGAUUAUGAGACGGUGACCCUGAAAUGGUGCACCCCUCGUGGAUGCAGCGCAUCAGAAAUGCAAAACUGUAUUGCAAUGCAUCGCAUCACCCCGGUCGACGUGAACAGCCGCCCCUCCUCGUGCCUGAUCAACUUCCUGCUGAACGGGCGGUCGGUGAUGCUGGAGAUGCCCCGCAAGGCCGGGGGCAAGAUGAUCUCGCACCUGCUGGCGGCCCACGGGGGCGAGAUCUUCAUCCACACGCUGGUGACGGCUCGCAGCAUGCUGGAGGACCCGCCCUCCAUCAGCGAGGGCUGCGGCGGCCGCAUCACGGACUACAGGAUCACGGACUUCGGAGCACUGAUGCAGCAGAACAGGCUGGUGCCGUUGAAGCGGAAGUACGAUGACCCGGACGGGGACACCCCGCUCAACAAAAUGAAGGCACGCCUCGACAGGUUCACGAAGUAUUGGCCUAUCACCAUUUCGUCGACGUUCUUCUUCAACAUAAAAAAUUACGUUGACCCGCUCCCCUCGCUGAUGGUCAAGGAAGAGCUGACGUACGACGAGGUGGUGCAGUGCAAGCAGGUCAUCUACUCCCUGAUUGGUCUGGAAACCAAGCACGAGCCUCUUCAGACACCCAACAUGGGGCAACGCGGGAAGGGACCCAAACGGGAGGAGCAGUACCGCAUCAUGUGGAGCGAGCUGGAGACGUUCCUGCGCGCGCACAGCCGCACGGACCAGCACGCCCAGGUGCUGAGCUGCCUGCUGGAGUGCCGCAACAAGACGGAGGACGAGAAGGGCGGCGCGGCGAAGGCGGAGAAGACGACGGCCGUCAAGGACGAGAAGGUGGAGCUGGACCAGGCUCUGCGGGAGCUUGACCAGCUCGGCAAGCCCGGCGACAGCCCGGCGGCGGAGUGCGCGGGCCGGGCGACCGUGAUCCGCGCCACCACCGACUCCCCCAUGUCGCCCCCUCCCGCGUCGGCCCCCGCCGCCCCCGCGUGCCGCCCCACGCAGCGCGUCGCCCCCGCCAGCAUCUACAACUCCUCCCCGCAGUCGCUGCUGGAGCUGUGGCUGGGGCGGCUGGCCGCCUCGCGGGAGGCCCGGGCAGAGUUCCACGGCCGGCUCAACGGCGAGCCGCUGCCCGGGGGCGGCUGCCUCACCCAGCUCUACCCCUGCCUCAAGGAGGAGCGCGGCGGGGGCCGGGGGGAGAUGCACGUGGAUGGGUAAUCCCCGUGUUGAUGUGGUUGCCUGCCUACCCAGCCUGCACUCCCUGGUUUCAUGGAUGCUGUAGAAUCUGGAGCAGCUGGGAAAUGAAAUCAAUUAUGUUUAGUGUUUAAUGUGUUGUAAAUAUUUUAUCAAAAUAUUUUUUUUAUAAAAAAUAAGAUUUGUUUCUUUAUCACUA